UUCCACUUGGGGGCGGUAGACUCCACUGAAGGUGGGUUCACUAUCUUCGCAGCGGGGUGUGAAAGCCAGUUCAGCUCCUGAACCCCAAAAUUGUUCAACAGCCUUUUGGUGCCUGACCGGUUUCCGAAGACAGAAUCUGGACGACAUGUACAUUUUCUUUCGGCUCUCAUAUGACAGAGGGAACAGCAUUGUGUCUGGUUUAAGCAGGUGAGCUCUUCAAACGCAGGCCACGGGCAAGUAUGAAGCCUGAACACAGAACGAUAGCCACAAGACAGUGGACCAGGAUGCCAUGGCCUACCACACGAGGUCUACAGCCAAGAAGAAGAGGAUGUCUCUGAGGAGGAUGAGCACACCAUCCACACAGAAGCCUUCUCCCCAGGCCCUGGGGGACAUUGUGGGCUGCAGAAUUUCUCACGGAUGGAAGGAAGGUGAUGAGCCCGUCACCCAAUGGAAGGCCAUCAUUCUAGAUCACUGAGAACCGCCAUGUCCUACCUGCUGAACAGCUUUCCUUACAUUGACCAGUUUCGAGGGUGCACUUUCCAGAUUCAUUAUAUAGUGGAUUAUAUUGAUGGACUUUCAGAAAUUGAACCAUCCCUGCCUCCCACUAGAAAUUAAUAAUUGCACAGCAUAACCUACAGAAGGGAUCUCAUAUUCACAUGCAUACUCUAACAGCUCCCCAUAAAAAAACAAAAACAAAAACACAGAAACAAAAAAAAACAUGCACCCUAUAGAACAGAUCUAAUACUCACAUACACACUCAAACAUCCCAAUGGAAAAAACAAAAACCAAAAAACAUGCAAGCAAAAUAACCCUGCUCCCGCAGCAUCAAAAUAGCCUGAACUAAAUAUCACUUCUCAUUAAAACCUUUAAGCAUUAAUGACCUCUAUUCAACAGUAAAAUGACAGACGCUAACACAUGGAUUUAAAAACAGUAUCCCUCCUUCUGUUCCACUCAAGAAACACAAUCCAGCAACCGAGAUAGCCACAACCUCAGACUAAGGGGUUGGAAAAGGUUUUCCAAGCAAAGGACACAAGAAACAAGAUGGUGUAGCCAUCCUAACAUCCAGCAAAUCAAACCUUCAACCAAAAGUAAUCAGAAGAGAAGGGGAAGGACACUUCAUAUGCAUCAGAAGAAAAUCCACCAAAAUGGCAUCUCCAUUCUGGAUGUCUAUAUCCCAAAUACAAAAGCAGCAACAUUAGUGAGAGAAAUAUUGCUGAAGCUUAAAUAUCACAUCGAACCUCACACAUUGAUAGUGGGGGACAUCAAUGUGCCAUCUCACCAAGGGCAGGUCAUUGAGACAGAAACUAAAAAAGGAAACAAUAAAAAUAGAAGAUGUAACUGGCAUGGGUUUCAAUUAAUCUGACCUCAUUGAUAUCUACAGAAUAUUUCACAUGAAUACAAAAGGACACACUCUCUUUUCAUUACCUCAUGGAACCUUAUCCUAAACUGAUCAUGUUCUCCCUCACGAAACAAACCACAGCAGACACAGAAAGACUGCGCUAACCAUUGGAUCUUCUCAGAUCGCCAUGGAUUAAAACUGGACUUCAACAAUAACAAAAAGUCUAUAAACUCAUGGAAAUUCAAUAGCUUGCAACUGAAGACUUUUUUUCAGAGAAGACUUGAAAAAAAAAAGGGUUCUGAGAAUUCAAUGGAAAUGAAGGCACAUCUUCUCCAAACUUAAGGGACAUAAGGAAAGCAGCGCUAAGAGGAACGUGCACAUGCAGCACAGGGCGCUUUCAUAAAGAAACCGGAGAGACCCCACACUAGCAACUUCCCAGCACACCUGAAAGCUCUAGAAUAAAAAGAAGCAAAUACAUAUUAAAGGAGGAGACAGAAAGAAAUGAUCAGACUCGGGGCGAGAGUGAUCCAUCAGAAACAAAGAGAAUACAAAGAUCAACAAAAACAAGAGCUGGUUCCUUGGGGAAAUCAACCAGACAGACAAACACUUAGACAUAUAAAGUAAUACGAGGUAAGACAGCAUCCAAAAAACAAAAUCAGAAAUGAACAGGGAGCCGCAUCGAUGGACAAUGAUGAAAGUCACAGAAUCAUUAGGACUCACUUCAAAAACCUGCUGUCUACAAAAUUAGAAUCUCUGAAUUAAAUGGAUGAUUGUGUAGAUGGAUAACACUGACCACAGGUAAACUGAGGUAAGAUAAACUUUGUAAAAUAGUUCUACAACCCCUAUAGAGACAGGAAGUGUAAUUAAGUUUCCUCACUGAAAAAUCCUCAGGGCCAGAUUGAUUGAGCGCAGACUCCUACCAGAUUUUCAAAGAAUUCUCAACCUUCUCCAAAACACAGAAACAGGAGGAAAACGCCAAACUGAUUCCAGGACACCACUGUCGCCCCGAUACCUAAAUCACAAACGACUCAACGAAGAAAGAAUUUCAGACGAAUUUCCCUUACGAACAUUGGUGGAAAAAAUACUAGGUAAAAUGCUCGAAAACAAAAUCGAAGGACAUAUGAAUCCUCCAUCCAGCACCAUCCAGUAGGCUUCAUCCUGAGGCUGCAGGAGUGGAUCAGUCUAUGAAAACCCAUCAAAGUGAUCCACCAUAUAAGCAAACUGAAGUGAAAAAAAUAUUCUACCCUCAGCAUUUCCCAUCAACAUGCGAGCUCCACUUGGAGUAAAUUUUGUGGAUAUUUCAUACCAUGUAAUAUAUAUUUAUAUGUGUA